AUCGCUUCUCGGCCUUUUGGCUAAGAUCAAGUGUAGUAUCUGUUCUUAUCAGUUUAAUAUAAAUGAAGUUGUAGUUUGGUGUAAUGUGUGAUUAGCACAGACUUUGGAAUCAGAUCAUCUUGGAUUUAAAUCUCUUUCUCACUUGUUGGCUGAAUGACCGGGAGCAAGUUAAUUAACUACUCUGAAUGUCAGUAUUCCC